GUUGUCUUCCUCAUCGAUGGUCUGGCUUGAUGCAGCAGAAGGUGAUGGCACUAGCAUGGUUGUGGUCUUCCUUGCUUGCUCAAGGUCUGUUUGGACGAGGGUGAAGGAGGGCUAAAUAAAGGUAAUGAAGGAUAAUUAAGUCUUGUCUCCCUAUUUGGGAAGGGAAGAGAAGGGGUGAAUCCUAUUUGAAUAUGGGUGAAUUAAUAAAGGGUAAAAGUAAGCAGAGUACCCUCUCAUACCUCUCAAAUCUUGAUUUUUCUUACAUCUCAAAUUAAGGGUGUACAGAAAGGGAUGUGAG
rnacentral:misc_RNA from 1 species